rnacentral:tRNA from 1 species
GGAGCGGUGGCUCAGUGGAAGAGCACAUGCUUUGCAAGCAGAAAGUCUCAAGUUCAACCCCUGGCAUUUCCU